rnacentral:rRNA from 1 species
AGGGGCAGCGAGAAGAAAGCUUGCUUUCUUUGUCGGCGACCGGCGCACGGGUGAGUAACGCGUAUCCAACCUUCCCCGCAGUAGGGGAUAGCCCGGCGAAAGUCGGAUUAAUACCCUAUGUUCUCCUUUGCAGGCAUCUAACGAGGAGCAAAGAUUUAUCGCUGUGGGAUGGGGAUGCGUCUGAUUAGCUUGAUGGCGGGGUAACGGCCCACCAUGGCAACGAUCAGUAGGGGUUCUGAGAGGAAGGUCCCCCACACUGGUACUGAGACACGGACCAGACUCCUACGGGAGGCAGCAGUGAGGAAUAUUGGUCAAUGGGCGUAAGCCUGAACCAGCCAAGUAGCGUGCAGGACGACUGCCCUAUGGGUUGUAAACUGCUUUUAUGCGGGAAUAAAGUCGCCUACGUGUAGGCGUUUGCAUGUACCGCAUGAAUAAGGACCGGCUAAUUCCGUGCCAGCAGCCGCGGUAAUACGGAAGGUCCGGGCGUUAUCCGGAUUUAUUGGGUUUAAAGGGAGCGCAGGCCGGAUGUUAAGCGUGACGUGAAAUGUAGCCGCUCAACGGCUGAGUUGCGUCGCGAACUGGCAUUCUUGAGUGAGUACGACGCGGACGGAAUUCGUGGUGUAGCGGUGAAAUG